AAGAAAGCAUGCAAGAGCUGCUAACUCAUGCUUCCGUACUUAAGCGUACGGCUUUCUUA
rnacentral:tRNA from 1 species